rnacentral:rRNA from 1 species
UAGGGAAUCUUCCACAAUGGACGCAAGUCUGAUGGAGCAACGCCGCGUGAGUGAAGAAGGUCUUCGGAUCGUAAAACUCUGUUGUUAGAGAAGAACACGAGUGAGAGUAACUGUUCAUUCGAUGACGGUACCUAACCAGCAAGUCACGGCUAACUACGUGCCAG